GACCGCCUGGGGAGUACGGCCGCAAGGUUAAAACUCAAAUGAAUUGACGGGGGCCCGCACAAGCGGUGGAGCAUGUGGUUUAAUUCGAUGCAACGCGAAGAACCUUACCUACUCUUGACAUCCUAAGAAGAGCUCAGAGAUGAGCUUGUGCCUUCGGGAACUUAGAGACAGGUGCUGCAUGGCUGUCGUCAGCUCGUGUUGUGAAAUGUUGGGUUAAGUCCCGCAACGAGCGCAACCCUUAUCCUUUGUUGCCAGCGACUUGGUCGGGAACUCAAAGGAGACUGCCAGUGAUAAACUGGAGGAAGGUGGGGAUGACGUCAAGUCAUCAUGGCCCUUACGAGUAGGGCUACACACGUGCUACAAUGGCGUAUACAGAGGGAAGCGAAGCUGCGAGGUGGAGCGAAUCUCAUAAA
rnacentral:rRNA from 1 species